GAUGAAGAACGUAGCGAAAUGCGAUAAGUAGUGUGAAUUGCAGAAUUCAGUGAAUCAUCGAAUCUUUGAACGCACAUUGCGCCUUCUAGUAUUCUGGGAGGCAUGGCUGUUUGAGCGUCAUUAAACCUCUCUCAAGUAUGAUUACUUGGAUGUGAAGGAAGAGUACCUUAAACUUAAGGAGUGUUCUCCUUUGAAAUUGAUUAGCAGAUGGUAAUGUUAUUAAAUCCCUGAUGUUGUAAGAAAUAACAGUGGUUUUGUAGACUAUUAUCUAGCUUUAAAUUAUAAUUUUUAUUAUGGUUGACCUCAAAUCAGGUAAGGAUACCCGCUGAACUUAAGCAUAUCAAUAAGCGGAGGA
rnacentral:misc_RNA from 1 species